AUUCAAUUGAUCAUCCACGUGUAUCUCAUAAUCGACUUAUUGAUAUAAUGGUUCUCCAAGUUAUCUAUACUUUUUGUCUGCGAUAUCACUUCGGUGGAAGCGGACGUAAAAUACAACUAACUAAGAAGAAGUAUCUAUACUUUAGUCAUUGCGACAAAUUCUUUCUUUGAUAUUAUAUCAGCGACAUUCAGUUAGAUAGAUGUAGUGAAGUUAGCAUCAACAGGGUGCUUUAGCCGUGAUAUUUUAAAAAAAAUUAUAAUGGUCACAUAGAAUACCAGACCGCAGGUUUGUAAAUUUUUACAAAAAAUAAAACCGUGUAUUUAAUUUAGCAUGUAUAUAUUGCUUCUAUGUAUAUAAUAAUUCGUUUCGUUUAAAACAGUCAGAUUUAGAACUGCUGCCACUGACUGCACCGGAAGUCUAUUUAUAUAAUGGCGCCACAAAGAAAAUUUUUUUGAUGUGUUCUAAAAGUGUUCCGCUAAUUCAGCAAUCUAAUGAAUCUGUCUUAAUUUUUCUGAAAUCGUGCUUAAUUAUUAUUAGCUAAUCGGCGCUACACCGUUGUUCAAAUACUUAUAAUUGCAAGAAACCCCCGACUAGGACCAGCAGGUAAGAAUCUGUCUUGAUUUUAUAGUAAUACCCGGUUGCAAUUAUUGGCCGCCAUCUUUGAUUUUUAUAGACGUUCGGGCAAAAGGAUAAAUGUAUAUCCAGACAUGGACUAUAGCUAGAUACUAACUUUUGUGUUAGUUGUUUAGUUGAAAUGUAAUCUUAUUUCUGUAAAAGAAAAAAACAACAACAAACAAAUCAGCCUUUUUUUUAUAUCAAUGUCAUCAAUGUGUAGGCCUAAUAUUAGACUUUCAAUGAUUCAGAAGUUUCUCUACAGUUUCGUUAUUUUUUUUCCCAGUCAUUGAUGUUAGCAUGUACUACACAAAGAAAAACAGGUAACAGAAUUUCAUUUCCUUUUAAUAUAUUUUUUUAAUAAUGGCCAAUAAUUGUUAUUGUAUGUAACACGAAAAGUAUUUAUCUCUGUAGAGAGAGGGCGAGUAAAUGGGGUUUAAAGUUCACUAAAUUCACUUGACACAAACUAUGCCAUUCAUUUCCUUGUAUUAAAUUGGUCGAAUCAAGUAGGUCCAUGCUAUAUAUAUGUCCUAGAAUCAAGUAGGACAGGUAGUCUUCUUCCGCCCUUUUUCUGAACACUGUCUCAUUCUAUUGCCAUCUGUGCAAAGCAUGAAGCCAAAGGAAAUGUUUUUACCAAGGCAUGUUCCUCAAUAGCGGAGAGAGUUUUAUCCAGUGUCGGUUCUGCAGAAGAACCCAUUCAUAGCAGACCACCCAUUGCAGCACUUGUAAGGUCGCUAUAAAGAACCCGACAGACUCUGCGACCAAAAGAUCCCACUGACGUGUCGUCAAGCCUUGACGAAGAUUUCAUCGAUCAUAGUGCACCAGGAUUUUAUCAAAAAAGAGUAAAAGUUGGGGAAAGGCGCCAUCACAUUUUUUGUACUGAUAGACAGAUGCAAUUACUCGCACGCGCAAAAACUUGGUAUAUGGAUGCAACUUUUCGGGUGGUGAACAAGCCAUGGUCUCAGCUGUUUUCCAUACACGCCUUCAUUAAGACUGGAGAGACCACCCGACAGUUACCAUUGGUGUUUUGUGUAAUGUCGGGUAAAAGCCAAGACGACUAUUAUAAGUUUCCAUAUUAGAUGCCAUAGCAAAUCAAAGAUCAUAUAAUAAAAUAAGUCAAAAAACCCAAAUAUGGAAAAAGAAAGAGCUGAAGAAAUGGUGAUUUGAGCACCUAUGCUUUCUCAUAGGUGUUUUUGGAGGUUUCCAUAUUAGAUGCCAUAGCAAAUCAAAGAUCAUAUAAUAAAAUAAGUCAAAAAACCCAAAUAUGGGAAAAGAAAGAGCUGAAGAAAUGGUGAUUUGAGCACCUAUGAUUUCUCAUAGGUGUUUUUGGAGGUUAACUACAUCAGAAAGAUCAAGACAGUUGGAAAUGGCUAUCCAUAUUAUGGAAACUUUUUCUCACAGAGCUUGAUAAUCAGGUAAAAUGCUGGAAGAUUAUUUGAUGUAUGAUAACAACAAGAGAUCCCAAGCAUCAAUUUAUUUUAUAAUUCUGGAAAAGAAUGCAUUUGACCCAAUUUUUGAAUAUUUUUUUUUGUUUUUACUGUUAAAUAUUCAUCCCAAACACAAUUAGAUUUUAAUUCUCUACAGAAAUUUAUGUAUAAUAUAGAAUGUAAAGUGACAUAUAAAUCACUUAGAAUUUGGUCGGAAAUCAUAAAGUAUUUAAUAGGCAUAGUCUAGAAACCAAAUGUAGAUCAAAUACACCCAGAAUUACAAAAAACCUUGACCUACAUUAAGGUGACUUUCCCUUGCUUAUGAAAUGAAAUAGGGUUUAAUAUCCUACUUUUCUGUGUUAUUAUGGUGAUUCUGCCCUACAACCUACUCUUAUAUCAAAUAUUUCAUCCGUCAAGGGUUGUUUAAAGGGAACCUAGGAGGGCCGAAUGGUUAACACACGCACAUUGGAUCAGAAGGGUCUGUCAUUGAGUCAGAUAAUUCAAUUGUCAAGGGUUCUUUAAAGUAAACGCAGUGGGGGUAGUUUCAAUUCUGGGCUUAUACCCAAUUAUCCCUUGCCAUGUCCUACACUACUGACGUGUGGGAACUAUGUCGGAAAAUCCAGUUGAAAUUUCUCGGCCAAUGCACUCACUGAACCACAGUGGCUGCUCCUUGCUUUUGACUUGUGAUUAUUUAUAUAUAUUUUGUACAUAUUAUUUAAUGUUUGCGAUUUUCUCUGAUAUUUUUUUAUUUUUCAAUCCUGUAAUCUUGAUGCUUUGCUCCUUUUAUGUACAAAAUAUUCAUUUUGUUUGAGGAAAAGGUUCUACAUCAUUUUAUUACUCCUGCAAAAUAGUGCAUUUUUCUUUUGUUAGUUUUCUGUGUAUGCUAGUUAUUUCUAGAUGCCUCACAAAUCACUUGUAAUAUGACUUUGUAGCACUUUUCAGUUUUUGAAAGUAUUUCAAUUUAGUGCAUAAUUAAUCUAAUUAGGGCUUGGUUUGGAUGUUAUUAAAUUUAGAUAUAUUUGAAUUAUAUAUUUUUGGGGUAUGGGGUAGGGAUCUUUCUUUUCUCAGUUCUUGUUUUCGGGUAAAGAAAAAAUUAAAUAGCUAUUUUGAAUUUUGUGAUGUGGGGGGGAGGGGGGCAAAGUAUAACAAAAUUUUUAUUAGUAUUAGAAUUAUAUCUCUGUUUUUCUGUUAACAUUUCAAAUGAUGUCUAUUUAGUUUUGAUUUGGUGGUGUUAAUUUACUUUUUCCUAUCAUUUUAUGAAUAAAUGAUAAUUUAACAAAUAAAAUUAUUGUUACCUCAUUUAUCAAACUUUACAGGUUAAACAGAGCAAAAGGGGUGGGGGGCUGCAUGGGAAAGAUUGCUAAAUUGAGGGAAAAUAAAACACAAGUUUUUGUUGGUGGUUAUACACAAGUUUUUAUGAAACCACACAAGUUUCAGAAAUUUCAACACAAGUUUCAGAAAUUUCAACACAAGUUUCAGAAAUUUCAACACAAGUUUCGACACAAGUAUUGUGUAGAUUUUCACACAAGUUUCAACACAAGUUUGUGUUGUUUGGUAAAUUUUAACACAAGUCUUGUGUUGUUUCAACAUUUAACACAAGUUUGUGUUGUUUCAACACAAGUUUGUGUUGUUAAAUAGA